AUCAUGCCAUUAUAUUUUCAUUAUAUUUUCUAAUUUUUCAUAUCUUUUGUAUAAUCAAUUGCAUUUUCUAUUUCAAGUAUACCACAAA